AUGUGUUUUGGGAGUGUCAUACCACUCCAUGGGCUCUUGCCACUUCCUCCAUGUUCAGCCGACACAGACAGAAGGCAAUUCUUCCAGCAGAGCCUCACGAUAGUCACACCACCAAGCAGGAAACUCCCACCUGGCUCUCACACCAUGAAGGUUUUCAAUCGAUCUGUCCGGUUUUCAAGCAUUCUUCUUCCAACCGGUGUUCGACUCCAAAACCCCGCUCCACCAGAGAUGUUGCACGCCAACUCCUGGAUUUGUUUUUCUCCCACUCCAGCUAUGACGACACAUUAAAUUAGCUUAAAGCGGACCAAGCCAAUCGACCAAUGGGAGAGGAGCACCAGUCAUAUUCUAGGAACAGUCGACAGACCAUAGUUCAUCCCAGGCAUUGGAUUGUCCACACAGGAACACAGAGGAACUGAAGUUCAUAACCAGAUAGAAUUAUAAUAGAUUAAUAGCUUGAAUAAAAUAUUUCCAUUUAUUGUAAACAUUUAAAGGCACUAAACAUUGGGAACUAUCUACAAAAAAUGUCAGUGCCUAUAAAUGAUUGAUAUCAAUAAAUCCUUUCAACCCUGUCUUUAUUUAUUCUGUUCAUCUAUCAAUAUUGACCAUAUGACUCAUAAAAAUGAUAUAUGCUCAUAUGGUUUUAUUGACAUAGCCUAUGGCAAACAUUUGCCUGUUCAAAUAUUAUUCACUACCUCAAAAGAAGGAGGAAAUAUCAUGGGGACUUAAGAGAAGACCAAGAGUUUAUUGGAAGGAAGAACACGAUAAGUAAAUAUUUAAUUUGUGGCAUACGUAAGAAGA
rnacentral:lncRNA from 1 species